rnacentral:rRNA from 1 species
GGGUGCGAUCAUACCAGUACUAAUGCACCGGAUCCCAUCAGAACUCCGCAGCUAAGCGUGCUUGGGGGAGAGUAGUACUAGGUUGCGUGACCUCCUGGGAAGUCCUCGUGUUGCACCCC